GACUUGGCUCUUAGGAUUUUACCAUUCUCCUUCUCCUUGACAGCCUGCUCCUGGUUAGGUGCAUAAAGGGUUAACCAGCCUCGUAGGACUAAGCUGCCAAGUACACUUAAUACUCACUCCAGCACUCCUGGCCUCUGUGCUUGUAUUCCUACGCUGCUGGAGUGGCCUGCUCGUGGCAUCUGGUUCCCUGGCAACAGCUUUCAUUGGCUCAUUCAAAGCCCUUUCUUCUUAAGAAAGCUCCGACCGAGACGCCCACCACCACUACCAAUCAGCCUCUCCACUUCUCGCUCGGGAUGCAGCUGGUAUGAAAAAUAGCAGCUGUGGACGAGAGGCCGUAGCGCCAUGACUGGGGUCGACUACAGCUGCUUUGCACUGGUUUUCUCCAGGACUAGGUGGAAGCGGUUUGCUUUUCCGCUGGGACCGAGGGAAUGGCUCCGCCAGAAAGUUUCCCAGCGCCUGGAGUUCUUUGUUCCAGCAGAAAUCCCUGAGUUCCCGUGAUUCACUGGCUAAGUCCUGGGCUGGUCUGUGCUGUGACUUUGGGCUCUGCGCUCUGACGAGGGGCGUGGUGGAGCUUGUCCUCCAUCAGGAGCAACCAGGGAUAAAGUCUGUUUCCCUUAGAACUUGGGGAGUCUGGCAACUGCUUCACCCUUCCCCAAAAUGUCAGCAGCUCCAAAUUUGCUGAGAACGGCAGGGGGAAAAAUGCUCUUGAUGCAAUAUUUUGGGAAAUAAAAAACUUGGCUAGUGUCUCUAAUAAAGAAGGGACCUCUUCCGGGAUUCUCAGAUUCACUGAGAAUCACUUGAAGUUGUUUUGUCUGGAACUUGAAUAAAAUGAAAAAUAAC
rnacentral:lncRNA from 1 species